rnacentral:snoRNA from 1 species
CUGCACUGCUUAUUUAUUUUGUCCUGCUCUCUGCCAAUGUUUGUGGGAUAUUGGAUACCGGUGCAUAAAUGGAAUGCUGCUCCUUGAAGCAGUGGCGGCCAGACAACCGUUGAGAUAGAUCCACAGAUAAAUGGCUGAUGUGUUGUUUGUCUACUAAUUCUAUCUCACAUUU